GGGGUUGUGGCUCAGUGGUAGAGCACACGCCUAGCAUGUGCGAGGCCCUGGGUUCAAUCCUCAGCACCACA
rnacentral:tRNA from 1 species